GACGAACGCUGGCGGCGUGCUUAACACAUGCAAGUCGAACGAGACGAUUGAAAGCUAGCUUUCGAAAGUCGAGUGGCAAACGGGUGAGUAACGCGUAGACAACCUGCCUUUGAGAUGGGGACAACAGUUCGAAAGGACUGCUAAUACCGAAUGUUGUAUAUUUUCCACAUGGAAGAUAUAUUAAAGAUGGCCUCUAUUUAUAAGCUAUCGCUCAAAGAUGGAUCUGCGUCCGAUUAGCUGGUUGGUGGGGUAACGGCCUACCAAGGCGACGAGCAGUAGCCGGUCUGAGAGGAUGAACCGCCACAUUGGGACUGAGACACGGCCCAGACUCCUACGGGAGGCAGCAGUGGGGAAUCUUCCACAAUGGACGAAAGUCUGAUGGAGCAACGCCGCGUGAGUGAAGAAGGGUUUCGGCUCGUAAAGCUCUGUUGUCGGGGACGAAUGUGCAGUAUUUGAAUAAAGUACUGCAAUGACGGUACCUGACGAGGAAGCCACGGCUAACUACGUGCCAGCCGCCGCCGUAA
rnacentral:rRNA from 1 species